rnacentral:rRNA from 1 species
AUGCACGCUGGCGGCGUGCCUAAUCCCUGCCAGUCGAGCGCACAGAUGAGGAGCUUGCUCCUCUGACGUUAGCGGCGGACGGGUGAGUAACACGUGGAUAACCUACCUAUAAGACUGGGAUAACUUCGGGAAACCGGAGCUAAUACCGGAUAAUAUAUUGAACCGCAUGGUUCAAUAGUGAAAGACGGAUUUGCUGUCACUUAUAGAUGGAUCCGCGCCGCAUUAGCUAGUUGGUAAGGUAACGGCUUACCAAGGCGACGAUGCGUAGCCGACCUGAGAGGGUGAUCGGCCACACUGGAACUGAGACACGGUCCAGACUCCUACGGGAGGCAGCAGUAGGGAAUCUUCCGCAAUGGGCGAAAGCCUGACGGAGCAACGCCGCGUGAGUGAUGAAGGUCUUCGGAUCGUAAAACUCUGUUAUUAGGGAAGAACAAAUGUGUAAGUAACUAUGCACGUCUUGACGGUACCUAAUCAGAAAGCCACGGCUAACUACGUG